UACGUAGGGGGCUAGCGUUGUUCGGAAUUACUGGGCGUAAAGCGUAUGCAGGCGGAUCGUUAAGUCGGGGGUGAAAUCCCGAGGCUCAACCUCGGAACUGCCUUCGAUACUGGCGAUCUUGAGUCCGGGAGAGGUGAGUGGAACUCCGAGUGUAGAGGUGAAAUUCGUAGAUAUUCGGAAGAACACCAGUGGCGAAGGCGGCUCACUGGCCCGGUACUGACGCUGAGAUACGAAAGCGUGGGGAGCAAACAGG
rnacentral:rRNA from 1 species